GGGGCCUUUCCCCGGGCCCUCUGAGCGGGCCCCGGGCGGGGCUGGGGCCGAGGGCCCGGCGUUGAGGCGCUGAGCGGCCCCGGGGCUGGGGGGCGGGGGGCGCCGGCUCGGGAGGCCAUGGCCACCCGGCGCCUAACGGACGCGUUCUUGUUGUUGCGGAACAAGGCGGUGCAGAGCCGGCAGCUGCUGGCCGAGCAAGUGAGUAGUUACGGCUCCUCCAGCCCUCUGAGUUCACGUAGCAUGGCUGCUGCGCUUGCUGAUGAUCGUAUGGCACUGGUAUCAGGAAUAAGUCUAGAUCCUGAGGCAGCAAUUGGAGUAACAAAACGCUUACCUCCCAAAUGGGUGGAUGGAGCAGACGAAAUUCAGUAUGAUAUUGCCAGGGUUAAACAGAAGAUGAAAGAAUUAGCCAGUCUUCAUGAUAAACAUCUAAACAGACCAACACUGGAUGACAGCAGUGACGAAGAACGUGCAAUAGAAAUAACGACCCAAGAGAUCACACAGUUAUUUCACAGAUGUCAGAGAGCAGUCCAGGUCUUGCAGAGCAAGUCACGUAGUUGUACGGAACAAGAAGCACGUGUUCUCAGGAAUGUAGUGUCUUCCUUAGCACAGUCACUUCAGGACCUAUCCACCAACUUCAGGCAUGCACAGUCUGACUAUCUCAAACGCAUGAAGAAUAGAGAGGAAAGAUCCAAACACUUCUUUGACACGUCAGUCCCACUGAUGGAUGAUGGGGAGGAUGAUACGCUUUAUGAUAGAGGUUUUACAGAUGACCAGCUUGCGUUGGUGGAGCAGAACACAUUACUGGUGGAAGAGCGGGAAAGAGAAAUCCGUCAGAUUGUACAGUCAAUCUCCGAUCUCAAUGAAAUAUUUAGGGACCUGGGAGCAAUGAUAGUAGAACAGGGAACGGUUCUAGAUAGAAUUGACUACAACGUUGAACAGUCAUGUAUCAAAACUGAAGAGGGUUUAAAACAGCUACAUAAGUUUCUAUUAGGAGACUUUCAUUUGGCUUUUGGAGAGUUUUCUCCACGUUUUAAUUCCCCUGGGAAAAAGAGGAAAGGGAUGAGAAAAGGUGGUUAGAAGAAAGAAGGAAUGAAGCAGAAAACUGAGAACCAAAACAAAAUGAAAGCUUUCAGUUCUAAUUGAAAUUAAAUGAAAAUGCACAGCUGAAUCAGGCAGAGCAAUAUCAAAAGAAGAAUCGGAAGAUGCUUGUUAUUUUAAUUUUGUUUGUUAUAGUAAUUGUCCUUAUUGUUGUUCUUAUUGGUGUAAAGUCACACUAGGUUUCACUUAAUUUUCUUAUUUUUGGAGUUUAUGUGAACUUUUUUCCCCAAUGUGAAUGGAUGGAUCUGCACUCCAGAAAGCUGCCUUGGAAUGUAUAAGCCCUUGUGGUACAGAGUCUGUGCAAUGUUUCUGUAGAAUUCUUCAAAGUACAAGUUUGGCAACUGGUGAAGUGUUUGUUCAAAAAAAAAAAAAUCCGGAAAUUUGAUGCUUCCAAAUGGAUAAUUUGGUUCUUUGUCCAGGGGUACUUGGAAACACGUUACUUAAAUAAUUGCAAAAUUGAAGUUUACCAGUGAGUACAGUAAUUUCUUUGUUACUGUGAACAAUAAUGCAUUGUCUUCUGUAUUACGUCGCAAUUGUUAUAGGCUUCAAAUUUAAACUGUGUUACUGAGUCAUGGGACUAGAUAAUAGAAAUUGAUCUAGAUGUAAAAUAUGUUGAGACACAAGAAUGUUUGACUUAAUUUCUUUUCUUCCAGACUCAAACUCCAAGGAAUUAGGUGAAAAAGAAGGCUUUUAACAACCAGAACCUAAUCCAAUCCCUCUGAUCUUAAUUUAGAUAUUGCAUCAUCACUAAGAAUCAGAAAGCUAUAUAAUCUUGUAAAUAAUAAGAUUUAAUCACUGGCAUAAUUUCACACAAUUAAAUUUUUUUUCUGAGCUUGAGUAAUCAUGGGAAUGUUUUCCCUCACUAGAAUGAUCAUAUAUAUACAUGUACAUUUUUUUUUAAAUACAGCCAUUACAUUAAAGAUGUGAUGAAGUUAAAACUAAAAAGUAGAGAUUCUCCAUUUGGCUUUCUACACAAUCUGGCCUGCUAUAGUGGUCUUGGAUGUUUCAUACUUUAGUUGUUGUGUAAGAUGUUUAUUUUACAGUGCAUCUGUCCAAAUGUUAGUUUUUAUAUAAAAGUGUUUUCACUACAGUAUACAUUACAUCCAUUUUCCCCUGACAGAAGAUUAUUUUUUUCUAAUGCCUGCCUAGAAAAGGACGUGUUUAUGGUCUUUUAUUGACCAUGAUAGAUGUCAUACAAGUGACAUGUACUAGGCCUUCAGUAGAGAAUUUUCUUUUUUUCCACUCUUUUUUUGCAGUGGAAAACUUUUGCUGUAGGCCAUAAAAGAGAAAUUAGAGAAACAUCUAAGUAAUAGAGUAUUCAUGUUUUAAUUCAGGCCUGAAGUGGUGUGCAAUUGUAGAGGCCUUGCCUUAAUAUUUUUAAUAUGGCUUUUCUGUAUGUACCUUUCCCCAAAGGGACUGUAACUUAUAUUUCCUUCAUUUCUGACUGAUGCCGUGCUCCCCAUAAAGCUGCAUAGAUGUUGUGCUCAAAUCCCCUGAAGUGCAGUUUAAUAAUAUUAUGAUUUUCAUGUUGCACAUGUGAAACAGGAUUCCUCUACCUGCACUGAACUUGUCUUUACUAUGUACUAAGGAGGACCUAAGAUGUGGGUUUACACUGACUUGGUGCAGGAAUGAGCCUGAGAGAAAAGACUACAAAGAAAUGUAAGCUGUGGCUUUUGGGCUUAUUGUGAAAAGCUUUGUACCACUCCUGUUACCUCUAGACAAAGGGGAUGUUGAACUUCCAAAACCUCCAGUUCAAGCCCUUGAUUACAUUCAUAAAAUAAAUCAGUAAAAGAAAGAAUGAUGCUUUUAGGUGGGUGUGCAGUUCCCCUGUUCUGGUAAUAGAUCUUUUCAAUGAUCGUGAGUAAAACUACUGUCUCCCUAGUGUGCUGUCUACAUCAGUUGUGUGAAGCAGCAUAUUGCUAUAAUUUAAUAUACUGUAUUUGCAACUUUCUAACAUGAGAUCGUGUUAUUUAUUUCUGUCUUGACUGGUGCUUUUGACAUUUUAUCAUGGCUAAUGAAUUCAAAGAAGUAAUAAAACACUUCCAACCUUAUCGGUCAAUUACUCAUUUUUUAAAAAAAUAGUAUAAACUGAAGCAAAUAUUUGUGAUGUUAAUGUCUCAUAUAUUUUUUGAAAUUAAAUAAAAGCAGCAGUGACAUGAAAUACCUGGUUUUUUUUAAACUUUAUGUAGCACUAUGUAAUUUAUAUUGUCAAAACAGUGAUUUUUUUCCCCUGUAGUUGCCAUUGAAAUGCCAGUGAUAUCUUAACUCCACUAAGGUAAAUGGCUAUGUAUUUCCUAUCCAAAUUCUGUGAAAGGAAAUGCACUUUUUUAAUAUGCACUGCACAAGAGGUUGAAUUCUGAUGUGAAUUGUCCUGUGUAACUUGAGCUAGAAUUUGAGGCUGAAUAUUAAAAAAAAAAAAAAAAAAAAAAAGCCUUCUAGACUUCUGUAUCACUUUGGAUGUCUAAUUUGUUACAAUUCAGUCUAAAUUAUUGAUAACUAAACCAUAAACCCUUAUGCAAUGCUUUGGAAGAAUAACUUUCUAUGGAGUGUUAUAGAAGGGGUAGCCUCAGUGCCCAAAAAAGCCACUGCAAAUGAGGAGAAUCUUGGCUUCAAUAGUGGCUGCUACCUACUCAGGUGUUACAGGAGCAAAAGCUGUCUGAACCAAGUGACUGCUUCUGUCCAGCCCUGUAAUCACCUCUGCGUGCUGCUGCAGAGAAACAGGGUUCUGCGGACUGUGGCCUCUUCAUGGUUGCUGGAUUCUUCUUCUCAGCUUGUACUGAGCCUCUGCCUGACUGCUUACUGAACGCCAUGGGGAACUGCACGAUGUUGCUAGAGCACCUCCCAAGAAUCUGUGGUUCCCCACUUGGUCUGAAUGACUUAUAAAGCUGUUGGCUUGUACAGACUUUCUCCAUUAAAAUGUAUGCAAGCAUACAACAACAACAAGCAUACAACAAGAAGCUGCUAUUCCUUAUUAACAGAAGUUAAUUCUAGUGGUAUCUGAAAAUGACAGUAUUAUAAGCACUGCAACAGUAAUUAGUAUCUAUUGCGAGCGUUCUCUAGAAACUCUGAAAAGUAAAAUGGAAGAAUUUUUCUUUUAAGAAACUUUACAUAAGUUUAAUUAAAACAAGGAAUCCAUUAUGCUUUUGCAUAUUAAUUACGAUGGAAUAUGUAAUAUUGAAUGGCUUAAUUCCAUUAAUACUUGCAACUUCUUGAGGAUUAACAAUUGGAGUGGCUAUGGAAGAUUAGUCCAUGCUGCAACUUCCUUUAAGGCUCCCAUGAGUAGAAAUGUUUGCAACUACUGUUUGUGGAAAAUAAGUAUAGUUUCUGUAUCAUAGAUAGAACUGACUUUCCCAAUCAUUCUGUUGUUUUGAUUAGGAUGCCCCUCUGCUGUCCCUAACUUAAUGAUGGAAGGUUCUAGAUUUAGAUGAGCAUUUCCUACUGCUUUGUUUCUUUUGGAUAAUACAGAUUGGGACAGUACUGUAUUAUGAAUCUUGCAGUAGUAGGAAUGGCAGAAUCUGUACUAAAUGAUAAGGAGUUUACCUGGUAGAAUCUUCUGAAUGUCUCAAUCAAGAAAUAAUAAUUGUUCUAUUAUUCUCUUUCAUAUUUUGCUCACUGUCCAUAUGUAAUGGAAUAAUAGUGAAUCCCUACACAGCUUAUGUUCUUUGGCUUGGUAAAGAGACUCAUAAAAGUUGGGUUUCAUAUCUCUACAUGAAGUGUUAUCAAGUGUUGGAGUUUGAACUUGUUUAUUGGGUUAUCCUGUCCAGUCUGUGAUGACACGUGAUUGACCUCUGCAAUAGAUUUUGCUAGAUCUUUUAUUCAAGCUAAUUUUAAAUGUAUUGGGCAAUAAAGUUUCCAUAAUGUCCCAUCAGGGACCAAGUAAGA